rnacentral:rRNA from 1 species
UACGUAGGGGGCAAGCGUUGUCCGGAAUCAUUGGGCGUAAAGAGCGCGCAGGCGGUCGUUCAAGUCGAGUGUGAAAGCCCCCGGCUCAACUGGGGAGGGUCACUCGAUACUGAUCGACUCGAAGGCAGGAGAGGGAAGUGGAAUUCCCGGUGUAGUGGUGAAAUGCGUAGAUAUCGGGAGGAACACCAGUGGCGAAGGCGACUUCCUGGCCUGUUCUUGACGCUGAGGCGCGAAAGCUAGGGGAGCAAACGGG